rnacentral:lncRNA from 1 species
CUUUGUUUAAAAAAAAAUAGAGUGCAAAGGCAUUUUAUGGCAUAAAUGAUAUCCGAACUAAGAUGACAUCUCAAGACCAUCAUGUAACAUUUGCAGACACCCUGAUAAAUAUAUUAAAAUAAAAAUAAGAGAAAAUUCUAUGAAACAAGAUAAAGGGAAAUAAAGAUGAUUAUAAGAUUAACAAACUUGACAAUUUCUGCAAUGGGAAAUGUUAACUUUUUGUUAUGCUUUUGGGGGAGAAAGUCAUGUUUCUCUCUCUAUCAUAUUUCUCCACCUUCUUUUUAAAAUAUAGUAGCGCCGAUCAACUCUUCCUCUCACCCCAAAUCCAAACAUGUUGAUCAACCCGAAAGGGUCAUGUUAUUGUCAUUGACGUAUUGGACUCAUCCCUCGAUUUGAGUUCUUACGCGUUUUUUCGAACUGUUGUGUUUGGUGGUAUGAUUUUUUCGAUUCUCUGAUAUUCCAGAUUUGUUAAGAUCUGCAGGUUUCGACGAGUCAUGUCUACCUUCACUCUGGUUUUGCUCGAAAGAGCUUUUUGCGCUUGUUUUUUAUCAUGAAGUUGUUGGUACUUGGAUUUUGAUACAGUGUUGACGGUCGAUCCAUUCACCAUAUUUAAACUCUAUCUGUUAUCUGUAGAUUUUCACUUUUCAUACUUUUUUGUAAUCUGGUUUCGCGCCCGUACGCGAGUUCGUUGGAUUGCACAUGUGAUUAGUGAAUUUUUGUUAUGAUAGAUUAGAGUAGAUCCACUUGGACUGUUUUAUCACGUUGUAUUUCCGCUUGAGUUAUUCCUAGGUCAGUGAGAAAUCAUGUAGAUCGACAAAUCAAUACAUCACGUGAAGGAUUGAGGAUAUGAAGAUUGAAGUUCAAUGAUGUUAGAAGGUAUUUGAAGACAAUACAAAGUGAAGAGAACACUGAGAGAAGAAGAAUAGCAAAAGAGAAAGAAGAAAGAGAAUGGUGGACUGUAUAGAUCUCGUAAAAAUAAAAAGAAAAUCUAACAUUUAAUUGGAAAUUACUUUUGUAUCCUUUAGUAUUAAUUUUCUCAAAAAACAAAAACAUGGACAUUUGCAUCAAAGUGAAAAGGUGAUGGUUGCUAAAAUAGACUUUCAUAAAAAUGAGUGGGUCUAUUGUAGCAAACCCCAUAUAUAUAUAGGGACUAAAACUUUUGCAUGAUCGAUGAAAAUUUUAGAGGGACUAAAACUUAAAAUUUGAAAAUUUUAUAGGGAUAAAAAACUUAUGUAACCCUAAAAACUAUUAUACAACUUAACUGCUAAGGUAUGUUGAUGGACGGUAGGGUUAGAAAAAAAUAGAGAGACGAAAAUAAU